rnacentral:lncRNA from 1 species
UUUAAAAUUAUAAAUUAUAAUUUUUCUCAUUAAAAUUGUUUUUAGGUUUUACUUUUGUCUUUUAAGCUUGUGUUCUAUUUUUUUCCUCUUAAGAUACAAAAUUUAGAUACUUUAAUCUAUAAAUACAAAGAGAAUUUCAUAUAUUUAAGUUGGCUAGAUUAUACUUUUAUUCCACUGACUUAUUUAUAGAUUUUAAAUUUAUUCUUUAAUUUUUUUUUUCAUUUUAAAUGUUAGAUAUUUUAGCUCUUUUUCUUCGAUACUCGAUUUAAAUGAAUAUAAUAUGUUAUACUACCUUUG